ensembl:lncRNA
CACAAUUUAAAAACGGAGUGUUGGAGGACCGCGGAGUUCACUCAGCGCAAGGGGGCGCUGGGUUGUCCCUCAAUGCCCCGUUGGAGGACCGCGGAGUCCUCCAGCCGCAAGGGGGCGCUGUUGUCCCCUCAAUGCCCCGUUGGAGGACCGCGAGUCCUACCAGCCGCACGGGCGCGUGUCCCCUGGCAAUGCCCCGUUGGAGGUGACCGGGAGGUCCUCCAAGCCGCACGGGGCGCUGUUGUCCCCUUCAAUACCCGUUGGAGACCGCAGGGGUCCUCCGCCGCAAGGGGGGCGCUGUUUCCUUCAAUGGGCCCCUUAUCCCGCCUCUUACCACGUGACGCGGCGCUGUGACGUCAUACGUGCGCGACUCCUCCCCUCUCGCGUUCGUCGCGUCGGGGUCCGAGCGCGGGCGGGGAAUGGAACCGGAACCGGAAACCAGAACCGGAAGCGGAAGUAGAACCGGAAAGCCGGCGGCUUCCGGGGCUGUCGCCGCGGUCCGUGUGUUCCUACCCGACGGUUCCGUGGUGCCGCUGGUUCUGCCCCCUCCGGUUUUGGGGUUGACGGCGGCCUCGUUACUGCGAUGUUUAUGGGAUGCGGCCGGGAUGGGACCCGAGAGUGGGGCUGUAAUGGCCCUAUGGCUGGUAUCGGGGCUGCUGGAGGUGCAAUUAAAGCCAAGGCAGCAGCCGUUCCGACUGCGCCGCCAAUGGCCAGAGCUGGUACUGCGACUCAGCGACGCCCCCCCCGGGGCUGUGGCCAGGGGUAAGAAUAAGGGGGGGGGGGGGGCUAAUAUACCUUAUAGGAACCCCCCCCCUUUUGGGUCUGGGGGUUUGUGGGGGGGUAUAUAUACCUUAUAGGACCCCCCCUUUUGGGUCUGGGGGCUUUGAGGGGGGGGGUGGGUUAAUAUAUCUUAUAGGACCCCCCCCUUUUGGGUCUAGGGGCUUGGGGGGGGGGGGGGGGGGGCAAAUAUACCUUAUAGGACCCCCCCUUUUGGGUCUGGGGGUUUGUGGGGGGGGGUUAAUGUACCCUAUAGGACCCCCCCCCUUUUGGGUCUGGGGGCUUGGGGGUAUAUAUACCUUAUAGGACCCCUCCUUUUGGGUCUGGGGGCUUGGGGGUAUAUAUACCUUAUAGGACCCCCCCCUUUGGGUCUGGGGGCUUGUGGGGGGCCAAAUAUACCUUAUAGGACCGCCCCCCCUUUGGGUCUGGGGGCUUGGGUGGGGGGGAAAAUAUAUCUUAUAGGACCCCCCCCCUUUUGGGUCUGGGGGUUUGUGGGUAUAUAUACCUUAUAGGACCCCCCCCUUUUGGGUCUGGGGGCUUGGGGGCAAAUAUAUCUUAUAAGACCCCCCCCUUUUGGGUCUGGGGGGUUGGGGGUAUAUAUACCUUAUAGGACCCCCCCCUUUUGGGUCUGGGGGCUUGGGGGGGGUGGCUAAUAUACCUUAUAGGACCCCCCCCUUUUGGGUCUGGGGGUUUGGGGUGGGUUAAUAUACCUUAUAGGAACCCCCCCUUUUGGGUCUGGGGGCUUGGGGGGGGUAUAUAUACCUUAUAGGACCCCCCCUUUUGGGUUUGGGGGGGGGGAGGUGGGUUAAUAUACCUUAUAGGACCCCCCCCUUUGGGGUCUGGGGGCUUGGGAGUAUAUAUACCUUAUAGGAUCCCCCCCUUUUGGGUCUGGGGGCUUGGGGGGGGGGGGCAAAUAUACCCUAUAGGACCCCCCCCUUUUGGGUCUGGGGGCUUGGGGGUAUAUAUACCUUAUAGGACCCCCCCCUUUUGGGUCUGGGGGCUUGGGGGUAUAUAUACCUUAUAGGACCCCCCCCCCUUUUGGGUCUGGGGGUACCCCACUGGCCCAUAGCUCCCCACAAC